AAACCCAGUGUGAUUCGUCACACUAUCAUUAACUGAAUCCAUAGGUUAAUGAGGCGAACCGGGGGAACUGAAACAUCUAAGUACCCCGAGGAAAAGAAAUCAACCGAGAUUCCCCCAGUAGCGGCGAGCGAACGGGGAGCAGCCCAGAGCCUGAAUCAGUGUGUGUGUUAGUGGAAGCGUCUGGAAAGGCGCGCGAUACAGGGUGACAGCCCCGUACACAAAAAUGCACAUGCUGUGAGCUCGAUGAGUAGGGCGGGACACGUGGUAUCCUGUCUGAAUAUGGGGGGACCAUCCUCCAAGGCUAAAUACUCCUGACUGACCGAUAGUGAACCAGUACCGUGAGGGAAAGGCGAAAAGAACCCCGGCGAGGGGAGUGAAAAAGAACCUGAAACCGUGUACGUACAAGCAGUGGGAGCACGCUUAGGCGUGUGACUGCGUACCUUUUGUAUAAUGGGUCAGCGACUUAUAUUCUGUAGCAAGGUUAACCGAAUAGGGGAGCCGAAGGGAAACCGAGUCUUAACUGGGCGUUAAGUUGCAGGGUAUAGACCCGAAACCCGGUGAUCUAGCCAUGGGCAGGUUGAAGGUUGGGUAACACUAACUGGAGGACCGAACCGACUAAUGUUGAAAAAUUAGCGGAUGACUUGUGGCUGGGGGUGAAAGGCCAAUCAAACCGGGAGAUAGCUGGUUCUCCCCGAAAGCUAUUUAGGUAGCGCCUCGUGAAUUCAUCUCCGGGGGUAGAGCACUGUUUCGGCAAGGGGGUCAUCCCGACUUACCAACCCGAUGCAAACUGCGAAUACCGGAGAAUGUUAUCACGGGAGACACACGGCGGGUGCUAACGUCCGUCGUGAAGAGGGAAACAACCCAGACCGCCAGCUAAGGUCCCAAAGUCAUGGUUAAGUGGGAAACGAUGUGGGAAGGCCCAGACAGCCAGGAUGUUGGCUUAGAAGCAGCCAUCAUUUAAAGAAAGCGUAAUAGCUCACUGGUCGAGUCGGCCUGCGCGGAAGAUGUAACGGGGCUAAACCAUGCACCGAAGCUGCGGCAGCGACGCUUAUGCGUUGUUGGGUAGGGGAGCGUUCUGUAAGCCUGUGAAGGUGUACUGUGAGGUAUGCUGGAGGUAUCAGAAGUGCGAAUGCUGACAUAAGUAACGAUAAAGCGGGUGAAAAGCCCGCUCGCCGGAAGACCAAGGGUUCCUGUCCAACGUUAAUCGGGGCAGGGUGAGUCGACCCCUAAGGCGAGGCCGAAAGGCGUAGUCGAUGGGAAACAGGUUAAUAUUCCUGUACUUGGUGUUACUGCGAAGGGGGGACGGAGAAGGCUAUGUUGGCCGGGCGACGGUUGUCCCGGUUUAAGCGUGUAGGCUGGUUUUCCAGGCAAAUCCGGAAAAUCAAGGCUGAGGCGUGAUGACGAGGCACUACGGUGCUGAAGCAACAAAUGCCCUGCUUCCAGGAAAAGCCUCUAAGCAUCAGGUAACAUCAAAUCGUACCCCAAACCGACACAGGUGGUCAGGUAGAGAAUACCAAGGCGCUUGAGAGAACUCGGGUGAAGGAACUAGGCAAAAUGGUGCCGUAACUUCGGGAGAAGG
rnacentral:rRNA from 1 species